UGCAACUAAACACGAUUUCUAGGGUUUUAUAGAAAUCCAUUGUUAACGUAUUACUUUCUGUUGGUGUUGGUAGGGAUGGCAAUGGGGCGUUACUUUUGUACACCUCAUUUCUGGUUCAAUUUAAGUUGAAAGUAUAAAUGAGAUCCUGAUUUUCUUUCAAUAAUGUGUUUGUUUAUUUUUAAUUGCAGAUUCAAUUUGUUCUCAUAAGAUCUUCAGUGUUUGAUUUGGGUUGUUUAUUGAUGUGACGCUAUUGGACGAUGCCUGGUGAUAAGAAAUCUGCCAUCGUGGAUGGGUUAUAGACGAAGUGGAGGGGAAUCAUCUAAUGGGAAUAAGAAAGUUUUGGUGAUUCUCCCUGAUGGCGAGCAAAAGUCUAAAAAAGAUACCACUGUUGACCUCCUUCGUUCUGAACUACAAAUCUUGCGGAUGCAUAUGGCUAAGCUUGUUGAUGCAGGGCGAAAUAGAACUGCUACGGAGUUUGCAAUUUCCCUUCUCCAGACCUUAUUUACCCGGGAAUCCUGAAUUGGUGUCUCUGAGCUCCAUAAUCUCGUAGAGCCACUGGCAAAGAUAGGUACAUGACCUGGAUCUCCUGAAUAGUUACCGCAGCGUUUUUGGAUUUCCUGGAAUGCUUCUGCUACCGUCCCUGAUCCUCCGGUUAUAUAUCUAGCAAGGACAAGAAAGGGAAGCAGUGUAGAUAUAGAGAGGCUCCCUCUGCUCGUUCACUUGUAAGGGAUGAGGAGUCUAUAACAUAAGAUUCUCUUGGCUUCCGUAAGCAGGUAAAUGUAAAUGUCACUUUGCUGAAUACAGUUUGCAUGCUACUUUACGUUGUUCAUUUACUAUAUGUUGAUGUUGUCUCUUUUUUGAGGUAUUGUUUUUGUGUUAUCCACUUAUCUCCUGUGUAUUGUACUGAUUCCACCUUAUUACGUUAUUCAUCCAUUAUAUAUAUAGACAGUUUAUCUUUGCCAACAGUUACAUGUUUGUUUAUACUCAGUGAGGAUAGUAGAAAUAUCUAUAGACCUCUCUCUUGAAACAUCGAGAUCGUUGGUUUGUUGCAUUGAGUGAAUGCACCCCAUCCUCUACUUUGUUUGUAAACAGUGCGUUGUAAAAUGCACUGGGUUUAUUAAAUAGUGCAUAUAAAAUGCACUCGACUGUAAUGCACUGGUAGAACUACAAGGUUUAGAAGCAUUAAACUAUGAAACCUUUGAGAGUUGCAAGUAAACAAGAAAUUCUGAAUCCAGUAGAUGUCUUAGGAUUUUUUAAUUUUGUUUUUUCUCUAUGAUUUGCACGAGUGUAAGCAUCCCUUGG